rnacentral:SRP_RNA from 1 species
GCCAGGCGCGGUGGCUCACGCCUGUAAUCCCAGCUCUUUGGGAGGCCGAGGCGGGCGGAUCACCUGAGGUCAGGAGUUUGAGACCAGCCUGGCCAACAUGGUGAAACCCCGUCUCUA